rnacentral:rRNA from 1 species
CGGCGGACGGGUGAGUAACGCGUGGGCAACCUGCCUCACACAGGGGAUAACAGUUAGAAAUGACUGCUAAUACCGCAUAAGACCACGAAACCGCAUGGUUUUGAGGUAAAAACUCCGGUGGUGUGAGAUGGGCCCGCGUCUGAUUAGGUAGUUGGUGCGGUAACGGCGCACCAAGCCGACGAUCAGUAGCCGACCUGAGAGGGUAACCGGCCACAUUGGGACUGAGACACGGCCCAAACUCCUACGGGAGGCAGCAUG